GUAAUAGAAGAACAUCUUCCAGUAACGACAGUUCCAUCUUCCAAGAGAGAGGCGCUUUAGACAAUUCUCCAGCCUGGCGAUGUUGCUGUUUACUCUCCUUGCAUACUGUAUCGUUUGCUUCACACCAAGCGAUGUGUCAACAUCUCGACAAUGUUCAUCGAUGCCCGGUGAAGGUGAAUGCGAUAGUCCGGUCGACAAGUGGUUUUAUAAUAAAAAAGAAAAAAAAUGCGAAAAUUUUAAGUACGGAGACUGUCCGAGGAAUGAAAACAUGUUUGACGACGAAACAACAUGCAAAACGACAUGCUCGACAUCUGGAGAAACCGCUUGGCUUUAAGGCAUUGUGAUAUACAUCUGAGAACAGUAAACUCC